ensembl:lncRNA
CAUGAUUAAUCGUUUGACAGCACUAUUUUAUUUAUGUCAUAUUUUGAACCUUUGUUAAUGAAACCAAUUAAGUUGUCUUCAUCAGUGAUUAAGUCCUUCAGUAUACUCUCUGUGAUGGUUUUCAUUUUAUUUAUUUUUUUACAGUCAGAAACAUCCAGUGAGAUGACACACUCAGAGUUGUAAGGUAAACAUCUGAUUUAGGUAACACCAUUUUUGUAGAUUAUGGAAAAAGCUUCAGAUGAGCAGGAUAUAUACUUUUACAGCUGUCUUGGACAUGUUUACAUUAUUCUUUUUUCCCCUUUUUCCUGGCAGUAAAUUAAAAAUUUUAGCACUUCGUCAGUCACCUGUUGAUGUGUUUCUCCAGCUACAAAGUGAUUCUCCAGUCAUCUGUUACGGUAUCCACACUCUCUAUGCCAUGCAUGGCACAGUACUGUUUUUAAAUCUGUGACUGGCAAUGUGACUGACAUGUUCACACAGCUUGUGUAUUUUUCAGUCUUGAAUGUGCCUCUGUAACUGUUAUCCGUCAUCUAUCAGGUACUCCUCUUCAUGGUUUUCUGACCCAGAAUGAUAUGGAAUAAAAUGGUUUGUCUGUCCA